CUCCGGUUGAUCCCGCCGGACCCGACUGCUAUCAGAGUGGGACUAAGCCAUGCGAGUCGACGUAGCAAUGCGUGGCGAACGGCUCAGUAACACGUAGUCAACAUGCCCAGGGGACGUGGAUAACCUCGGGAAACUGAGAAUAAACCACGAUAGGUCACGAUUUCUGGAAUGGAUCAUGGCCUAAAUCUACAUGGCCCCUGGAUUGGACUGCGGCCGAUCAGGCUGUUGGUGAGGUAAUGGCCCACCAAACCUAUAACCGGUACGGGCUCUGAGAGGAGAAGCCCGGAGAUGGGCACUGAGACAAGGGCCCAGGCCCUAUGGGGCGCAGCAGGCGCGAAACCUCUGCAAUAGGCGAAAGCCUGACAGGGUUACUCUGAGUGAUUUCCGCUAAGGGGAUCUUUUGGCACCUCUAAAAAUGGUGCAGAAUAAGGGGUGGGCAAGUCUGGUGUCAGCCGCCGCGGUAAUACCAGCACCCCGAGUGGUCGGGACGAUUAUUGGGCCUAAAGCAUCCGUAGCCGGUUCUGCAAGUCUUCCGUUAAAUCCAGCCGCUCAACGGAUGGGCCGCGGAGGAUACUACAGGACUAGGAGGCGGGAGAGGCAAGCGGUACUCAGUGGGUAGGGGUAAAAUCCGCUGAUCCAUAGAAGACCACCAGUGGCGAAGGCGGCUUGCCAGAACGCGCUCGACGGUGAGGGAUGAAAGCUGGGGGAGCAAACCGGAUUAGAUACCCGGGUAGUCCCAGCUGUAAACGAUGCAGACUCGGUGAUGAGUUGGCUUAUUGCUAACUCAGUGCCGCAGGGAAGCCGUUAAGUUUGCCGCCUGGGGAGUACGGUCGCAAGACUGAAACUUAAAGGAAUUGGCGGGGGAGCA
rnacentral:rRNA from 1 species